AGCUUUGCGCAGUGGCGGUACCAUAGCCAAUGAGGUUUUACCGAGGCGUGGUUAUUGCUAAUUGAAAAAAAAAAGUUGACAUCGC